CACGUAGGGGGGCAAGCGUUGUCCGGAUUUAUUGGGCGUAAAGAGCUCGUAGGCGGUUCGGUAAGUCGGGUGUGAAACCUCCAGGCUCAACCUGGAGAGGCCACCUGAUACUGCUGUGACUCGAGUCCGGUAGGGGAGCGUGGAAUUCCUGGUGUAGCGGUGAAAUGCGCAGAUAUCAGGAGGAACACCAGCGGCGAAGGCGGCGCUCUGGGCCGGAACUGACGCUGAGGAGCGAAAGCGUGGGUAGCAAACAGG
rnacentral:rRNA from 1 species